CGAGGGAAUUAGUUAGUUUUGUUUUCCCGAGAAUCUCAAUGUUUGAGAUUACAUUGAGAUUCGAGGGAAAACAAAACUAACUAUUUCCCGA